AGUGAACGCUGGCGGUAGGCCUAACACAUGCAAGUCGAACGGCGGCACAGUAAGAGCUUGCUCUUACGGGUGGCGAGUGGCGGACGGGUGAGGAAUACAUCGGAAUCUACUUUUUCGUGGGGGAUAACGUAGGGAAACUUACGCUAAUACCGCAUACGACCUACGGGUGAAAGCAGGGGAUCUUCAGACCUUGCGCGAUUGAAUGAGCCGAUGUCGGAUUAGCUAGUUGGCGGGGUAAAGGCCCACCAAGGCGACGAUCCGUAGCUGGUCUGAGAGGAUGAUCAGCCACACUGGAACUGAGACACGGUCCAGACUCCUACGGGAGGCAGCAGUGGGGAAUAUUGGACAAUGGGCGCAAGCCUGAUCCAGCCAUACCGCGUGGGUGAAGAAGGCCUUCGGGUUGUAAAGCCCUUUUGUCGGGAAAGAAAAGCAGCAGGUUAAUACCCCGCUGUUCUGACGGUACCCAAAGAAUAAGCACCGGCUAACUUCGUG
rnacentral:rRNA from 1 species